ACACGGAGGGCGCAAGCGUUGCUCGGAAUCACUGGGCGUAAAGCGGGUGUAGGCGGUCUAGCAAGUCAGAUGUGAAAGCCCACGGCUCAACCGUGGAAGUGCAUCUGAAACUGCUAGACUUGAGUGCCGGAGAGGGAAGUGGAAUUCCUGGUGUAGAGGUGAAAUCCGUAGAUAUCAGGAGGAACACCGGUGGCGAAGGCGACUUCCUGGACGGCCACUGACGCUGAGACCCGAAAGCGUGGGGAGCAAACAGGAUUAGAAACCCUAGUAGUCC
rnacentral:rRNA from 1 species